rnacentral:rRNA from 1 species
AUGUCCAAGGUUAAUAUGGAAAUUCUUUCAGAGGUUUUCCCUUACUUUGUCCGUGUUAACAAACAACUCAAAAUACCUCGACUUUUUCAGAACAGGUCUGAGUCAAAUAGCAAUGAUUCAAAGCACUUCUUUUUCCAUUACACUAUUUCAGAUCUCACCUGA